CGCCUCUUGAUAAAAUAUAAGAGGUCCAGCCUGCCCAGUGACAAAGUUCAACGGCCGCGGUACCCUAACCGUGCGAAGGUAGCAUAAUCACUUGUCCUUUAAAUAGGGACUUGUAUCAACGGCACCACGAGGGCUAUACUGUCUCCUUUCUCCAAUCAGUGAAACUGAUCUCCCCGUGAAGAAGCGGGGAUUCUACUAUAAGACGAGAAGACCCCAUGGAGCUUUAAACUCACCAUACACCUCUAUGCCCCACAUCAACUUACACAAGAAAUCUGUAUGCUAGUUUUAGGUUGGGGGGACCACGGAGUAUAAUUGAACCUCCAUAACAAAUGGGCUAACACCCUUAUCUACGAGAUACACCUCUAAGAAUUACUAAACUAAUGUUUAAUGACCCAAUAAUUUGAUCAAUGAACCAAGUUACCCUGGGGAUAACAGCGCAAUCUACUUCAAGAGCCCCUAUCGACAAGUAGGUUUACGACCUCGAUGUUGGAUCAGGGUAUCCUAGUGGUGCAGCCGCUACUAAUGGUUCGUUUGUUCAACGAUUAAAACCCU
rnacentral:rRNA from 1 species